GAUGAAGAACGCAGCGAAAUGCGAUACGUAAUGUGAAUUGCAGAUUUCAGUGAAUCAUCGAAUCUUUGAACGCACAUUGCGCCCGCUAGUAUUCUGGCGGGCAUGCCUGUUCGAGCGUCAUUUCAACCAUCAAGCCCUAGGCUUGCGUUGGAGCCCUGCGGUUGCCGCAGGCUCCCAAAUCCAGUGGCGGGCUCGUCGUCGUACCGAGUGCAGUAAACAUCCUCGCUCAGGGAACGUGACGGGUUCUUGCCGUGAAACCCCCCACAUAUCAAGGUUGACCUCGGAUCAGGUAGGAAUACCCGCUGAACUUAAGCAUAUCAAUAAGCGGAGGA
rnacentral:misc_RNA from 1 species